GUUGGCCUACGGGGCGCAGCAGUGAGGAAUAUUGGUCAAUGGGCUUACGCCUGAACCAGCCAAGUCGCGUGAGGGAAGACUGCCCUAUGGGUUGUAAACCUCUUUUGUCAGGGAGCAAUUGGCGCUACGUGUAGCGUUAUCGAGAGUACCUGAAGAAAAAGCAUCGGCUAACUCCGUGCCAGCAGCCGCGGUAAUACGUAGGGUGCGAGCGUUAAUCGGAAUUACUGGGCGUAAAGGGUGUGCAGGCGGCUGAGUAAGACAGAUGUGAAAUCCCCGGGCUUAACCUGGGAACCGCAUAUGUGACU
rnacentral:rRNA from 1 species